ensembl:snRNA U6 U6 spliceosomal RNA
GUACUCGCUACGGCGGUACAUUUGCAAAAAUGGGAAGGAUACGGAGACGAUUAGCAAGGUCCGUGCUCAAGGCUGACGCACACAGUUGUGCAGCGUUACAUAGAGAA